UUCCUGUUCCUGGCUGGACUGAAAGGAAUUGAGCACUCAGUGUGCACUUCCUGUCAGUCCAGCGGGGAACAGGAA